GAUGAACGCUGGCGGCGUGCCUAAUACAUGCAAGUCGAGCGAACGGACGAGAAGCUUGCUUCUCUGAUGUUAGCGGCGGACGGGUGAGUAACACGUGGAUAACCUACCUAUAAGACUGGGAUAACUUCGGGAAACCGGGCUAAUACCGGAUGAUAUUUUGAACCGCAUGGUUCAAAAGUGAAAGACGGUCUUGCUGUCACUUAUAGAUGGAUCCGCGCUGCAUUAGCUAGUUGGUAAGGUAACGGCUUACCAAGGCAACGAUGCAUAGCCGACCUGAGAGGGUGAUCGGCCACACUGGAACUGAGACACGGUCCAGACUCCUACGGGAGGCAGCAGUAGGGAAUCUUCCGCAAUGGGCGAAAGCCUGACGGAGCAACGCCGCGUGAGUGAUGAAGGUCUUCGGAUCGUAAAACUCUGUUAUUAGGGAAGAACAUAUGUGUAAGUAACUGUGCACAUCUUGACGGUACCUAAUCAGAAAGCCACGGCUAACUACGUG
rnacentral:rRNA from 1 species